AUUCGAAGCAUUUCAAUCAGUAGAUCAUUCAUUACCGUCCUCGGGAUAAAAUCAAAACUUCAUCAAAUAUAAAUACUGUAAUAACACGGUGCACUGCAGUGUCGCUUAGACGUUCAUCGCAAUAAUAUUAUAUUAUAUUGUUAUAAACUUAUAAACAUACCUAUUAAUAUUUAAUAACGAAUCAUAAUGUCGGCGCAGAACAAAAUGUUGACAUCUCUUUUUAUCGUGCUGUUAAUCACGACAUCCGUCACCCCUACCAGUAUCUUUAUUUCAUCCAUAUGCUACAGCGGUUGCGGAACUAUGGCUGUUGCUUGCUAUGUGAUGACCGGCAUACAAUACAUCAUGGGCGCUUCCGGUUUGACAAGGACUGGAUUGGGUUGCGGAGAAUCGUUCGUUGUGUGCAAGGACAGCUGUAUCCAAUCCUAUAAUAAAUAAUAAUAUAAGUUUUUAAACUACUAUCAGUUUUUCAGAGACGAUAUCUGCUGUUACACUUAGGCUAUUAUACGAGUAUAAGCGCAAUGUGACAAAUAUUAUUAAAAAUAUUAUUAUACACAGGUUAUAGUAAGGCUUUCUAUUUUCAUACAUGUAAUAACAAGUCACGAAAAAACUAAAAAUUUUAUGAUA